rnacentral:rRNA from 1 species
UACGAAGGGGGCUAGCGUUGCUCGGAAUCACUGGGCGUAAAGGGCGCGUAGGCGGCGUUUUAAGUCGGGGGUGAAAGCCUGUGGCUCAACCACAGAAUGGCCUUCGAUACUGGGACGCUUGAGUAUGGUAGAGGUUGGUGGGACUGCGAGUGUAGAGGUGAAAUUCGUAGAUAUUCGCAAGAACACCGGUGGCGAAGGCGGCCAACUGGACCAUUACUGACGCUGAGGCGCGAAAGCGUGGGGAGCAAACAGG